rnacentral:ncRNA from 1 species
AAAUCUCAUAAGGGGUGCCCUUCGGGCUGAGAUUAUACCCAAUGAACCUGGGCGGGUAAUGCUGCCAAGGGAUAAGUGCAAAGCGCACU